rnacentral:lncRNA from 12 species
GCCCCCCCCCGGCCGCCCCGCCGAGGCCCCGCCUCUGUGCACCUCCCGGUCCCCGCGCCGCGCCGCCCCGAGCGCCGUCACCUGGGCUGCCCGGAGCCCCGGGCCCGCCCCCCGCCGCCCUCCGCCCCGAGCUGCCCCGAGCCUCAGGCCCGCGCGGCCCCUCCCGGAGCGCCUCGGCCCGGCAGCUGGAGCCCCGCCCCCGGGCCGGCCCUCGGCCCUCGGCCCCCCCUUGCUCCCCGGCAGCCGCCCCGCCCAGCCCGAAGGGAGGGAGGCCGAGCCCAGGGGGACACCCGGGCUGCGGAGGCCCGUUUGGAGACCUUGGGCUUUAGGAGGUCUUGCUCCCUCCCUCCCGAAUGACCUCCCUGGGCCCCGCCGUCUGGGCCACCAAGCCCAGCCCAAGCGAGGUCUUGGGGUAACCUCUGCUGCUCCGACUGGAUCCUCACUGACGGUGCCCCUCGCAUUGCCAUCCUCCUCCUCACCUCUGCUUCUGACCGGGGUCAUCGCUCACCUGUAUCUCUGUGCCAUGGUCUCCUGCCUCAUCUUCCUGCCUCCAGUCUUCUGUCCUUUAAAUUACCUUCCUCAAACCUGCCACGGUGAUGUGUCUGGAAUAUAAAUACGAUCUCACCACUGCCAGGCUUAAAUCCCUUCACGAUCCCAAGUACUUGCAGGAGAAGUUCCAGAUCUGCGCUGCCCGUAGGGUGCCUACUGCUACACGUGGCUCCUGGGCACUUGAUAUGUGGCUCGUCAGAACUGAGACGUGCAGAAGCGUAAGAUACUCAACAGAUUUUGAACAUUUGGUACAAAAACAAACAAAACCAACCUGUAUAUAAAAAUUUAUCCUCAGUCACUUUAAAUACUGAUUACAUGUUAACAUGAUAACAUUUUGAAUAUAUUGGGUUUAAUAAAACAGUCUUGAAAUUAAUUUUAUCUGUUUCU